rnacentral:misc_RNA from 1 species
GAUGAAGAACGCAGCGAAAUGCGAUAAGUAGUGUGAAUUGCAGAAUUCACUGAAUCAUCGAAUCUUUGAACGCACAUUGCGCCCCUUGGUAUUCCAUGGGGCAUGCCUGUUCGAGCGUCAUUUGUACCUUCAAGCUUUGCUUGGUGUUGGGUGUUUGUCCAUUCUCUUGCAGAGGGACUCGCCUUAAAGUAAUUGGCAGCCAGUGUUUUGGUUUUGAAGCGCAGCACAAGUCGCGAUUCAAAGCUAUACGCCCGCUUCCACAAGCCUUUUUCACUUUUGACCUCGGAUCAGGUAGGGAUACCCGCUGAACUUAAGCAUAUCAAUAAGCGGAGGA